ACUGGGUGUGGUGGCAUGUGCCUGUAGUCCCAGCUACUCAGGAGGCUGAGGUGGGAGGAUCGCUUGAGCCCAGGAGUUCUGGGCUGUAGUGCGCUAUGCUGAUUGGGUGUCCGCACUAAGUUCAGCAUCCAUCUGGUGACCUCCUGGGAGUGGGGAACCACCAGGUUGCCUAAGGAGGGGUGAACCGGCCCAGGUCAGAAACAGAGCAGGUCAAAACUCCCAUGCUGAUCAGUAAUGGGAUUGUGCCUGUGAAUAGCCACUGCACUCCAGCCUGGGCAACAGAGUGAGACUCUGCCUCC
rnacentral:SRP_RNA from 1 species